rnacentral:misc_RNA from 1 species
UCUCCGUUGGUGAACCAGCGGAGGGAUCAUUACUGAGUCUAACAAACUCCCAAACCCCUGUGAACAUACCUACUGUUGCUUCGGCGGGACCGCCCCGGGCGCCUUCGCGGUGCCCCGGAACCAGGCGCCCGCCGGGGACAUCAAACUCUUGUUUUCAAUUGUCAUUUCUGAGAAUAAAACAAAUAAGUUAAAACUUUCAACAACGGAUCUCUUGGUUCUG